rnacentral:rRNA from 1 species
GUGGGUAGUUUGACUGGGGCGGUCUCCUCCUAAAGAGUAACGGAGGAGCACGAAGGUUAGCUAAUCCUGGUCGGACAUCAGGAGGUUAGUGCAAAGGCAUAAGCUAGCUUGACUGCGAGAGUGACGGCUCGAGCAGGUGCGAAAGCAGGUCUUAGUGAUCCGGUGGUUCUGAAUGGAAGGGCCAUCGCUCAACGGAUAAAAGGUACUCCGGGGAUAACAGGCUGAUACCGCCCAAGAGUUCAUAUCGACGGCGGUGUUUGGCACCUCGAUGUCGGCUCAUCACAUCCUGGGGCUGAAGUAGGUCCCAAGGGUAUGGCUGUUCGCCAUUUAAAGUGGUACGCGAGCUGGGUUUAGAACGUCGUGAGACAGUUCGGUCCCUAUCUGCCGUGGGCGCUGGAGAAUUGAGGGGGGCUGCUCCUAGUACGAGAGGACCGGAGUGGACGCAUCACUGGUGUUCGGGUUGUCAUGCCAAUGGCAUUGCCCGGUAGCUAAAUGCGGAAGAGAUAAGUGCUGAAAGCAUCUAAGCACGAAACUUGC